rnacentral:rRNA from 1 species
GAUCAUGGCUCAGAUUGAACGCUGGCGGCAGGCUUAACACAUGCAAGUCGAACGGUAACAUAAAGAAGCUUGCUUCUUUGAUGACGAGUGGCGGACGGGUGAGUAAUGCUUGGGAAUCUAGCUUAUGGAGGGGGAUAACUACGGGAAACUGUAGCUAAUACCGCGUAAUAUCGAAAGAUUAAAGUGUGGGACCUUCGGGCCACAUGCCAUAAGAUGGGCCCAAGUGGGAUUAGGUAGUUGGUGAGGUAAAGG